rnacentral:rRNA from 1 species
AACGUAGGAGGCGAGCGUUAUCCGGAGUUACUGGGCGUAAAGAGCGUGUAGGCGGGUAGGCAAGUUUGGCGUGAAAGCUCCCGGCUAAACUGGGAGAGUGCGCUGAAGACUGCGUAUCUAGAGGCGAGUAGAGGGACGUGGAAUUCCGGGUGUAGUGGUGAAAUGCGUAGAGAUCCGGAGGAACACCAGUGGCGAAGGCGACGCCUGGGCUUGGACCUGACGCUGAGACGCGACAGCACGGGAGGCGAACGGG